rnacentral:rRNA from 1 species
GACGAACGCUGGCGGCGUGCUUAACACAUGCAAGUCGAACGGAAAGGCCCUGCUUUUGUGGGGUGCUCGAGUGGCGAACGGGUGAGUAACACGUGAGUAACCUGCCCUUGACUUUGGGAUAACUUCAGGAAACUGGGGCUAAUACCGGAUAGGAGCUCCUGCUGCAUGGUGGGGGUUGGAAAGUUUCGGCGGUUGGGGAUGGACUCGCGGCUUAUCAGCUUGUUGGUGGGGUAGUGGCUUACCAAGGCUUUGACGGGUAGCCGGCCUGAGAGGGUGACCGGCCACAUUGGGAUUGGGAUACGGCCCAGACUCCUACGGGAGGCAGCAGUGGGGAAUAUUGCACAAUAGGCGGAAGCCUGAUGCAGCAACGCCGCGUGCGGGAUGACGGCCUUCGGGUUGUAAACCGCUUUCGCCUGUGACGAAGCGUGAGUGACGGUAAUGGGUAAAGAAGCACCGGCUAACUACGUG